AGUCGAGGGGCAGCAUGGUCUUAGCUUGCUAAGGCUGAUGGCGACCGGCGCACGGGUGAGUAACACGUAUCCAACCUGCCGUCUACUCUUGGCCAGCCUUCUGAAAGGAAGAUUAAUCCAGGAUGGGAUCAUGAGUUCACAUGUCCGCAUGAUUAAAGGUAUUUUCCGGUAGACGAUGGGGAUGCGUUCCAUUAGAUAGUAGGCGGGGUAACGGCCCACCUAGUCAACGAUGGAUAGGGGUUCUGAGAGGAAGGUCCCCCACAUUGGAACUGAGACACGGUCCAAACUCCUACGGGAGGCAGCAGUGAGGAAUAUUGGUCAAUGGGCGAUGGCCUGAACCAGCCAAGUAGCGUGAAGGAUGACUGCCCUAUGGGUUGUAAACUUCUUUUAUAAAGGAAUAAAGUCGGGUAUGCAUACCCGUUUGCAUGUACUUUAUGAAUAAGGAUCGGCUAACUCCGUGCCAGCAGCCGCGGUAAUACGGAGGAUCCGAGCGUUAUCCGGAUUUAUUGGGUUUAAAGGGAGCGUAGAUGGAUGUUUAAGUCAGUUGUGAAAGUUUGCGGCUCAACCGUAAAAUUGCAGUUGAUACUGGAUGUCUUGAGUGCAGUUGAGGCAGGCGGAAUUCGUGGUGUAGCGGUGAAAUGCUUAGAUAUCACGAAGAACUCCGAUUGCGGAGGCAGCCUGCUAAGCUGCAACUGACAUUGAGGCUCGAAAGUGUGGGUAUCAAACAGG
rnacentral:rRNA from 1 species